rnacentral:sRNA from 1 species
AGGUGUCAAAAGUCCAAAAAGCUUUCUGCUUGCAGAAAAAGCUUUUUGACUUUAUGACACGCAAAAACAUGAGGAAGUAGCAAUUUACGUAGUAAAUUAGCGGAUUCCGAAUGUUUUAAGAAUUGCGAAAGUUGCAACACAACGAAGCAAUUCGUUAUAU